AAAUUGAAGAGUUUGAUCAUGGCUCAGAUUGAACGCUGGCGGCAGGCCUAACACAUGCAAGUCGAACGGUAACAGGAAGCAGCUUGCUGCUUUGCUGACGAGUGGCGGACGGGUGAGUAAUGUCUGGGAAACUGCCUGAUGGAGGGGGAUAACUACUGGAAACGGUAGCUAAUACCGCAUAACGUCGCAAGACCAAAGAGGGGGACCUUCGGGCCUCUUGCCAUCGGAUGUGCCCAGAUGGGAUUAGCUUGUUGGUGG
rnacentral:rRNA from 1 species